rnacentral:rRNA from 1 species
AUUGAACGCUGGCGGCAGGCCUAACACAUGCAAGUCGAGCGGCAGCGGGAAAGUAGCUUGCUACUUUUGCCGGCGAGCGGCGGACGGGUGAGUAAUGCCUGGGGAUCUGCCCAGUCGAGGGGGAUAACUACUGGAAACGGUAGCUAAUACCGCAUACGCCCUACGGGGGAAAGCAGGGGACCUUCGGGCCUUGCGCGAUUGGAUGAACCCAGGUGGGAUUAGCUAGUUGGUGAGGUAAUGGCUCACCAAGGCGACGAUCCCUAGCUGGUCUGAGAGGAUGAUCAGCCACACUGGAACUGAGACACGGUCCAGACUCCUACGGGAGGCAGCAGUGGGGAAUAUUGCACAAUGGGGGAAACCCUGAUGCAGCCAUGCCGCGUGUGUGAAGAAGGCCUUCGGGUUGUAAAGCACUUUCAGCGAGGAGGAAAGGUCAGUAGCUAAUAUCUGCUGGCUGUGACGUACUCGCAG